rnacentral:rRNA from 1 species
GCCGAUGUCUGAUUAGCUAGUUGGUGGGGUAAAGGCUUACCAAGGCAACGAUCAGUAGUUGGUCUGAGAGGACGGCCAACCACACUGGGACUGAGACACGGCCCAGACUCCUACGGGAGGCAGCAGUGGGGAAUUUUGGACAAUGGGCGAAAGCCUGAUCCAGCCAUGCCGCGUGAGUGAAGAAGGCCUUCGGGUUGUAAAGCUCUUUUAGUCGGAAAGAAAGAGUCGCAAUGAAUAAUUGUGAUUUAUGACGGUACCGACAGAAAAAGCACCGGCUAACUACGUGCCAGCAGCCGCGGUAAUACGUAGGGUGCGAGCGUUAAUCGGAAUUACUGGGCGUAAAGGGUGCGCAGGCGGUUUUGCAAGUCAGAUGUGAAAGCCCCGGGCUUAACCUGGGAAUUGCGUUUGAAACUACAAGGCUAGAGUGCAGCAGAGGGGAGUGGAAUUCCAUGUGUAGCAG